rnacentral:rRNA from 1 species
UACGUAGGCGGAAAAUUAAGUCAGUAGUGAAAUCCUGCAGCUUAACUGUAGAACUGUUAUUGAUACUGGUUUUCUUGAAUAUAGUUGAGGUAGGCGGAAUGUGUAAUGUAGCGGUGAAAUGCUUAGAUAUUACACAGAACACCGAUUGCGAAGGCAGCUUACUAAACUGUGAUUGACGCUGAGGCACGAAAGCGUGGGGAGCGAACAGGAUUAGAUACCCUGGUAGUCC